UCAUGUUCAUUGAACCAAGUAUCAACUGAUAGAAAACAGUGAAAAAAUGACUUUGUUACAAGGAGACUGUAAUGGUUUCUCUGUCAGAUGUAGAAAACUAAAGCAAAAUGAAAGAAAUAAUUUUCAUUUAUACAAUAAUUUCAAUCCAGCUCAUUUGACAAGAUUUGUAGAUUCAGAAAAAUAUCAUUUUAUUUUUGUGAGAGUUUUUUCAGUGUAUAGAUGCUUGUUCACAGUGCAGGAGGUUUUUGUACGACCACUUCAUGAGUUUGUAUCACUGUGGUCCACUUUUGGUGGAGGAACCAAACUCAUCAUUGACUCCGGCUCCAGGGUCAGGCCCUCGGUCUCUCUGCUUCCCCCCUCCUCCCAGCAGCUCUCCGGAGGCUCGGCCACGCUGGCCUGCCUGCUGAGCGGCUACUCUCCUCCGGGAGCCGUGGUGAGCUGGGAGGUGGACGGCGCGGAGGUGACGGAGGGGGUCCUGACCAGCUCAGAGGAGGAGAAGAGCGGACGCUACAGCAGCAGCAGCACCCUGAGCCUGAGCCAGGAGCGCUGGAUGGAAGGAGAGCUGUACUCCUGCAAGGUCCUCCAUCACGACCACAGCCAGACCCAGUCCCUCCACAGGAGCCAGUGUCAGGCCUAGAGGGGCUGGCUGAAGCCCAGGACGGGAGCUGUGUGUUGGGGGAGCAGGAGGAACACACCUGCUGCUCUCAGCAAUAUGACUUUUAAUGUUUGUAGAGGAAACUAAAGCUUUGUGUGACAGAGAACAGCACUGCUGUAAAGUGUUGGACAGCAACAACUUAGAGAGUAAUGUGUGUAGCUCAGCAGCGAGAUGUGAGUGUGCUUCAUAACUGUCAUGUUGAUGGUUGAUGUUUGUGCUAAUAAAGCUUGAACUGAUCAAUAACUU